GAUAAACGCUGGCGGCGUGCCUAACACAUGCAAGUCGAACGAUCCCGCAAGGGAGAGUGGCGGAAGGGUGAGUAACACGUGGGAAUCUACCUCCUCGCAGGGAACAACCUCUCGAAAGAGAGGCUAAUACCCAAAGGGUCAGAAAUGAUCAGAGUCGAAAGGCGUGAGGAGAGGAGCCCGCGGCCCAUCAGCUAGUUGGUGAGGUAAUGGCUUACCAAGGCUACGACGGGUAGGGGAUCUGAGAGGAUGUCCCCCACACUGGAACUGAAACACGGUCCAGACGCCUACGGGUGGCAGCAGUGAGGAAUAUUGGACAAUGGGCGAAAGCCCGAUCCAGCAACGCCGCGUGGAGGAUGAAGGCCUUCGGGUCGUAAACUUCUUUAGAGGGAGACGAGAAAGGACGGUAUCCCUAGAAUAAGCGACGGCAAACUACGUGCCAG
rnacentral:rRNA from 1 species